UACGUAGGCAGCAAGCGUUGUUCGGAAUUACUGGGCGGAAAGAGUGUGUAGGCGGUGCUCUAAGUUCGGUGUGAAAUCUCCCGGCUUAACUGGGAGGGUGCGCCGGAAACUGGAGUGCUCGAGCGUGGGAGAGGAAAGCGGAAUUCCUGGUGUAGCGGUGAAAUGCGUAGAUAUCAGGAGGAACACCUGCGGUGUAGACGGCUUUCUGGACCAUUGCUGACGCUGAGACACGAAAGCGUGGGUAGCAAACAGG
rnacentral:rRNA from 1 species